UACAGAGGUCUCAAGCGUUGUUCGGAUUCAUUGGGCGUAAAGGGUGCGUAGGUGGCUUGUUAAGUUGAAGGUGAAAUCUCGGGGCUCAACUCCGAAACUGCCUUCAAUACUGGCGAGCUCGAGGACUGUAGAGGAGAAUGGAAUUCACGGUGUAGCAGUGAAAUGCGUAGAUAUCAAGUGGAACACCAGUGGCGAAGGCGAGUCUCUGGACAUUUCCUGACGCUGAGGCACGAAAGCCAGGGGAGCAAACGGG
rnacentral:rRNA from 1 species